GCGUGGUAGAACUAUUAAAGAAUUUCGGUCAUCGAUGGGGAUGCGUUCCAUUAGGUUGUUGGCGGGGUAACGGCCCACCAAGCCUUCGAUGGAUAGGGGUUCUGAGAGGAAGGUCCCCCACAUUGGAACUGAGACACGGUCCAAACUCCUACGGGAGGCAGCAGUGAGGAAUAUUGGUCAAUGGACGAGAGUCUGAACCAGCCAAGUAGCGUGAAGGAUGACUGCCCUAUGGGUUGUAAACUUCUUUUAUACGGGAAUAAAGUGAGGCACGUGUGCCUUUUUGUAUGUACCGUAUGAAUAAGGAUCGGCUAACUCCGUGCCAGCAGCCGCGGUAAUACGGAGGAUCCGAGCGUUAUCCGGAUUUAUUGGGUUUAAAGGGAGCGUAGGCGGACGCUUAAGUCAGUUGUGAAAGUUUGCGGCUCAACCGUAAAAUUGCAGUUGAUACUGGGUGUCUUGAGUACAGUAGAGGCAGGCGGAAUUCGUGGUGUAGCGGUGAAAUGCUUAGAUAUCACGAAGAACUCCGAUUGCGAAGGCAGCUUGCUGGACUGUAACUGACGCUGAUGCUCGAAAGUGUGGGUAUCAAACAGGAUUAGAUACCCUGGUAGUCCGCACAGUAAACGAUGAAUACUCGCUGUUUGCGAUAUACAGUAAGCGGCC
rnacentral:rRNA from 1 species